GUCUACGGUGAUACCACCCUGAACGUGCCUGAUCUCAUCUGAUCUCAGAAGAUAAGCAGGGUCGGGCCUGGUUAGUACUUGCAUGGGAGACCACCUGGGAAUACCAGGAGCUGUAGGAU
rnacentral:rRNA from 1 species